rnacentral:rRNA from 1 species
CACGUAGGGAGCAAGCGUUGUCCGGAUUUAUUGGGCGUAAAGAGCUCGUAGGCGGCUUGGCAAGUCGGGUGUGAAACCUCCAGGCUCAACCUGGAGACGCCACUCGAUACUGCCAUGGCUAGAGUCCGGUAGGGGACCACGGAAUUCCUGGUGUAGCGGUGAAAUGCGCAGAUAUCAGGAGGAACACCGGUGGCGAAGGCGGUGGUCUGGGCCGGCACUGACGCUGAGGAGCGAAAGCGUGGGUAGCAAACAGG